AACGCUGGCGGCGUGCCUAAUACAUGCAAGUCGAACGGUCUUUCUAUGGAAGCUUGCUUCCACUGAGAAGAUAGUGGCGGACGGGUGAGUAACACGUGGGUAACCUGCCCAUAAGAGGGGGGAUAACAUCCGGAAACGGGUGCUAAUACCGCAUAGUUUUCUUGAUCGCAUGAUUGAGAAAGGAAAGACGGCCUUUGUGCUGUCGCUUAUGGAUGGACCCGCGGCGUAUUAGUUAGUUGGUGAGGUAAUGGCUCACCAAGACGAUGAUACGUAGCCGACCUGAGAGGGUGAUCGGCCACAUUGGGACUGAGACACGGCCCAAACUCCUACGGGAGGCAGCAGUAGGGAAUCUUCCGCAAUGGACGAAAGUCUGACGGAGCAACGCCGCGUGAGUGAAGAAAAGGUUUUCGGAUCGUAAAACUCUGUUGUCAGAGAAGAACAAGUUGGAGAGUAACUGCUCCAGCCUUGACGGUAUCUGACCAGAAAGCCACGGCUAACUACGUGCCAGCCGCGGC
rnacentral:rRNA from 1 species